rnacentral:rRNA from 1 species
CCUACGGGAGGCUGCAGUAGGGAAUAUUGCUCAAUGGGGGAAACCCUGAAGCAGCAACGCCGCGUGGGGGAUGAAGGUUUUCGGAUUGUAAACUCCUUUUGUUAGAGAAGAUAAUGACGGUAUCUAACGAAUAAGCACCGGCUAACUCCGUGCCAGCAGCCGCGGUAAUACGGAGGGUGCAAGCGUUACUCGGAAUCACUGGGCGUAAAGAGCGCGUAGGCGGGAGAGCAAGUCAGAUGUGAAAUCCUAUGGCUUAACCAUAGAACUGCAUUUGAAACUGUUAUUCUAGAGUAUGGGAGAGGUAGGUGGAAUUCUUGGUGUAGGGGUAAAAUGCGUAGAGAUCAAGAGGAAUACUCAUGGCGAAGGCGACCUGCUAGAACAUAACUGACGCUGAUGCGCGAAAGCGUGGGGAGCAAACAGGAUUAGAUACCCGAGUAGUC